UACGGAGGGGGCAAGCGUUAAUCGGAAUUACUGGGCGUAAAGCGUGCGCAGGCGGCUCCUUAAGUCAGAUGUGAAAUCCCCGGGCUUAACCUGGGAACUGCGUUUGAAACUGAGGGGCUUGAGUGUGGAAGAGGGGGGUGGAAUUCCAGGUGUAGCAGUGAAAUGCGUAGAGAUCUGGAGGAACACCGAUGGCGAAGGCAGCCCCCUGGGCUAACACUGACGCUCAUGCACGAAAGCGUGGGGAGCAAACAGG
rnacentral:rRNA from 1 species